CACUAAUUCUACCACCAGGCUUUGUCAAACAUUGAGUUAGUAAUUUAUUUUCUGUUUUUUUCACACACAUUGUACUUUAGGCAUGAAUUAACAGAUCCUGUUAUGUGUCACUGCCAAACAACACCCCAAUAUGUGUUCAGCAAGAUCUCCUGAAUACAGUGAUACCACCCAUUCAUAGGCCUGUCGGGUUCUUUGGGGGCUAAAAGGCUACGUUUGGCAGGUGCGCUUAUCAGUUUCCCAAC